UUAUUAUUAUUUGAGUGUUUGAACAAAUAUUAUUAUCAUUAUUAGCCUUGCUCUUCAAAAGGAAAGAAUUUCCCUCAAGGGCACAGAUCAGAAAGACUGCAUGAAGACCACCCACCUCAUGGAGUUGUAAGGAACAACUGUGCUCCAGUGGAAAAGGCGUGGUGAACUUUGGAGUGUAAAUUACCAGCUAAUAGGCAGAGGGUCCGGAGUUGAAAGGUCCGUGUGUUCGAUCAGAGUCCCCGCUGUGAACAAUUCCCCCCGUGAUUGGAAGAAGCAGUUCUUUGAAACAUCGUGAUCCUUCCGUACUUCACUCUUCCAAAGGAAAGAAUCUCCAUCGCGGGCACAGGUCAGAAGGCAGCAGGCAGACCACCAACCUCAUGGAGCCGUAGGGAACGUGCUCAAGGGGAAAAGAUGUGACCAUGCCUGCCACGUGGGACAGGGAUUCCGUCCGACCCGAUGAACUCGUACCCCCCACGGCACCCGGUACCUUGCUUGACACGUAGCGCGCGUGCUUAGUAGAUGCCGUUACUUCCACCGUCAUUAUUACCAGAACUAGUAACUGUAGUGUGUCGCACUCUCCCAGGUGCUCAGCACCGUGCUCUGCACUCAGGAAGCGCUCAGUCGAUACCAUGGAACGAUCGAACGAUCGAAGCUGCCGCCGCGGAUGGGUCCGGCUCAGAUCCCUAAAUCUUUCAGCCCCAAGGUGACCCCAGGUGAGCGGCCCCAGGACGACCAGACACCCGCGAGCGCCGCCCCCGCAGAAGCCGCCGAGCCGAGCCACGGAAAGCUGGCCCCGCAGCACCCACCGACGGAGGGCCGGGCCUUCCUCCUCUUCUCAGCGUCCGCCGGCCCUCCCCUCUCCGUCGAUCGAUACCUGGCAUUUAUCCAGCACCAGCUGCGUGCGGAGCGCUCUACCGAGCCCUCGGGAGAGUCCGAUCCGAGAGAAUCGGCAGCCGCGUUCCCUGCCUGAGAGUGGGGAGACAGACUUUAAGAAAAAUAAAUAAAGGGUGGAGGUGUUCCCUGCCCAUCUAAAGGGCAAAGGGGCCUAAGGGCUUACUGAGCGCAGAGCGCUGUAUUAAGCUCCGUGGGACAGGAUGACACGAGAACAGACAGACGUGUUCCCGGCCCACGACAGGCGGGCCCUCCCCGCCGGACCGAGAGGGGAGGCAAAUGGGCCCUUAUCGUGCAAAUGGGCCCAAGGUCAAAGACCCACCCCGCCCCAGCCCCCCAGCCGCCACGCUUCGGUGGUCUUCCGUUGCCAGCCGCGGGGAGGUGUGAAUGACAAGGCUGAUGAAAACUGUUUAUUCAUUCAACUGUAGUUGAGAAGCAGCGUGGCUCAGUGGAAAGAGCACGGGCUGGGGAG